rnacentral:rRNA from 1 species
AGAGUUUGAUCCCGGCUCAGAAUCAACGCUGGCGGCGCGCUUAACACAUGCAAGUCGAACGAGAAAGGGAGCAAUCCUGAGUAAAGUGGCGUACUGGUGAGUAACACGUGGAUAUCUACCUCCUGGUGGGGAAUAACCUGGGGAAACCUGGGCUAAUACCGCAUAAGUUCGAGAGAAGAAAGGCGCAAGUCGCCGGGAGAGGAGUCCGCGGUCGAUUAGGUAGUUGGCGGGGUAAAAGCCCACCAAGCCAAAGAUCGAUAGCCGGCCUGAGAGGGCACACGGCCACACUGGCACUGAAACACGGGCCAGACUCCUACGGGAGGCAGCAGUGGGGAAUCUUGCACAAUGGGGGAAACCCUGAUGCAGCGACGCCGCGUGAGCGAUGAAGCCCUUCGGGGUGUAAAGCUCUUUCGGCAGGAACGAUAAUGACGGUACCUGCAGAAGAAGCUGCGGCUAACUACGUGCCAGCAGCCGCGGUAAUACGUAGGCAGCGAGCGUUGUUCGGAAUUACUGGGCGUAAAGAGUGUGUAGGUGGUGUCGUAAGUUUGGUGUGAAAUCUCCCGGCUCAACUGGGAGGGUGCGCCGAAGACUGCGAUGCUGGAGUAUGGGAGAGGAAAGCGGAAUUCCUGGUGUAGCGGUGAAAUGCGUAGAUAUCAGGAGGAACACCUGCGGUGUAGACGGCUUUCUGGACCAUUACUGACACUGAGACACGAAAGCGUGGGUAGCAAACAGGAUUAGAUACCCUGGUAGUCCACGCCGUAAACUAUGAAUGCUAGCCGUCGGACAGCUUGCUGUUCGGUGGCGCACCUAACGGAUUAAGCAUUCCGCCUGGGGAGUACGGUCGCAAGAUUAAAACUCAAAGGAAUUGACGGGGGCCCGCACAAGCGGUGGAGCAUGUGGUUUAAUUCGAAGCAACGCGAAGAACCUUACCAGCCCUUGACAUGGCAGGACGACUUCCGGAGACGGAUUUCUUCCCUUCGGGGACCUGCACACAGGUGCUGCAUGGCUGUCGUCAGCUCGUGUCGUGAGAUGUUGGGUUAAGUCCCGCAACGAGCGCAACCCUCGCCCUUAGUUGCCAUCAUUAAGUUGGGCACUCUAAGGGGACUGCCGGUGAUAAGCCGCGAGGAAGGUGGGGAUGACGUCAAGUCCUCAUGGCCCUUACGGGCUGGGCUACACACGUGCUACAAUGGCGGUGACAGUGGGCAGCAAAGGGGCGACCCCGAGCUAAUCUCAAAAAGCCGUCUCAGUUCGGAUUGCACUCUGCAACUCGAGUGCAUGAAGUUGGAAUCGCUAGUAAUCGUGGAUCAGCACGCCACGGUGAAUACGUUCCCGGGCCUUGUACACACCGCCCGUCACACCAUGGGAGUUGGCUUUACCCGAAGGUGGUGCGCUAACCCGCAAGGGAGGCAGCCAACCACGGUAGGGUCAGCGACUGGGGUGAAGUCGAAACAAGGUA